rnacentral:rRNA from 1 species
AUUGAACGCUGGCGGAAUGCUUUACACAUGCAAGUCGAACGGGAGUAGCAAUACUCUAGUGGCGAACGGGUGAGUAACACAUCGGAACGUACCCUGACGUGGGGGAUAACACAUCGAAAGGUGUGCUAAUACCGCAUACGUCCUGAGGGAGAAAGCGGGGGAUCGUAAGACCUCGCGCGUUUGGAGCGGCCGAUGGCGGAUUAGCUAGUUGGUGGGGUAAAGGCCUACCAAGGCGACGAUCCGUAGCUGGUCUGAGAGGACGACCAGCCACACUGGGACUGAGACACGGCCCAGACUCCUACGGGAGGCAGCAGUGGGGAAUUUUGGACAAUGGGCGAAAGCCUGAUCCAGCCAUUCCGCGUGAGUGAAGAAGGCCUUCGGGUUGUAAAGCUCUUUCGGCAGGAACGAAACGGCUCUUUCUAAUACAAGGAGUCAAUGACGGUACCUGAAGAAGAAGCACCGGCUAACUACGUGCCAGCCGCCGCCGUAA